UCGCUUCAGAUUGAAUUCUCUAACUGGUUUUGAAACUGAUUCUUUGCAGAUACAAGAAACACAUGGAGAAUCAUAUUCUUGCAACCACAGAUCAAUUCAGGUAUUCUGGCAGGCAAAAAGAAGAAAUUCAAAGCUGGAGUAGAAGAAAGAGCUAAAAAUUAACGGACCACUUACUUUGAAGUUUGAAGCUCAAGUGACAUUGAGGAGAAACUGUGCAAUUAUCCAGCUGUACUGACACCAUUAGGGAGCUUGUUCUGGAUCACAGGACUGGUCAAGCCCUUCAGUCCACUUGAAAACACUUUCCUAUUUCUGGCCAUUUUCCAUCUGUGCAGUGAAAUGGAGUGCUAGUGCCCGAUGUGUUGGAAACUUCACUGCUUUUCACUUCUGUUUGGCUUUUUACCUUUUGCUGUUCUUUACCCUGAAUAAAAUUCCGACUUGUCCUGAAGUAUUUAUCAGUUAAAUGUGGCAUUGUAAUCAAUUUUAUGAGUUUUUAAGCCAAAGUGAAUAUCAAAUUGCAGCUGAGGGCACUCAGCACCGUACAGGGUGGGGCCCACAGUGAAAGCUGACAUUUGAGAAAUAAAUGUUGUAUAAUAGCUGUAAAGAUUUGUGAG
rnacentral:lncRNA from 1 species